rnacentral:rRNA from 1 species
GACGAACGCUGGCGGCGUGCCUAAUACAUGCAAGUCGAGCGAAGUUUUUCUGGUGCUUGCACCGGAAAAACUUAGCGGCGAACGGGUGAGUAACACGUAAAGAACCUGCCUCAUAGACUGGGACAACUAUUGGAAACGAUAGCUAAUACCGGAUAACAGCAUUAACUGCAUGGUUGAUGUUUAAAAGUUGGUUAUGCUAACACUAUGAGAUGGCUUUGCGGUGCAUUAGCUAGUUGGUGGGGUAAAGGCCUACCAAGGCGACGAUGCAUAGCCGACCUGAGAGGGUGAUCGGCCACACUGGGACUGAGACACGGCCCAGACUCCUACGGGAGGCAGCAGUAGGGAAUCUUCCGCAAUGGGCGAAAGCCUGACGGAGCAACGCCGCGUGAGUGAAGAAGGAUUUCGGUUCGUAAAGCUCUGUUGUUAGGGAAGAAUGAUUGUGUAGUAACUAUAC